UCUUAUAGACGCUUUUUCGUGUGAAAAAGUCAUUUAGAUUUAAAAUUUUUAAAUUUGCUUUAAUUUAUCCCAGGGCCACCUACUUCUACAUAGCAGUUUCUUAGCCCAAACACAUUAUGUGUGGCAGAGGCCAGAAUGUAUGCGUAGAUGAAUCCUAGGUUUGAAGACUUCGGCCGCGAGUAAUUAAUCAGCGGUAAGAAUCUUUGGGAGCGGCCGCAAAGACCGCCGGGUCCCCAAAUCGUCGUACGACCAGGCUGAGAAAAUCGACCAGAAGAAAGUUACGCCUGAAAGUUUACUAAAACAAUUGGAUAAUUUCUAAAAUCAGAAGUUGACGACAUCGAAAGAGCACCAGACCUAUAGAUUACUGUCUAGCACUCCAAGCAAGAAAGUGGACUAUGACUAAUAGUGCAAAUGCAAUAAAAGGUAUAGCUCCAUUGUUAUCAGGACAUGGCCAUGACUAAUGUAAGCCCAAAAAUCUGUAGCAGUGGUCAGUGUGGUUAAACAUAGAAAGUCACUCGUUAUUGUCUAUUAGAGACAUUGGAUAGAAUUAUUAGCUGAGAACAUUUACUCAAUACUGUAUAACCUCAUGGUAAAUAUAAAGGAAAUAUCUUAUCCCUGUCAAAUGUUUAAUUUUCUUAUAAAUGUUACCUUGUGUCAUUAUUAUCAUUUCCAUUUGAGACUAUAAAAAGCAGUCUGCGCAGCGGUCGAGUAGGCCUAAGGCCUACGAGACGGAACCAGUGGGCGAUGCCGUACUUGC